CUUGUUAUCUUCUUCUUUUUCUACUCUUCAUUCUUCCCUUUUAUUCUCUCUUUGUUUUAUUCUUUUUUAUUAAUUCUCUACAUUAAUGAAAUAAAUAUAACUCCUAAAGAAAUUUAUUUCACUUUAACCUAAUUUUUCAACUUGGGUUUCUAAGAAUUCAUUCAAUCAUCAUAUAUUUUGUAGAUGACUUAAGGGAUUCAAAGUUCAACAAAUGCACAUAAAUUAUUUUGGAGUUCACAUAUUGUGAGGUAUUGCUAAUGGAAUUUGAUGGACAUUUGUAUCAGCUUUCGGUUCGUUUGGAUACUUGGAUUUUCUACAUACAUAUUUCUAAGCAAGUAAAGAAGAAGGCUGGAUAUAUGUGGAACAUUUCAAAUUUCGAGAUUCAAAUAAGUUUAUCAUCAACUUCGUGGUACUUAAUUUACGUCUUCGUGGAAGAGAAAACUAAAUCCUAAUUCAGAACAUUAUAUCUGCCUAUUAUAAACAUGUUACUGUAUCACGACACUAUUAAUUAUUAAAAUGAGAGCUUGCAAAACUGAUUUAGACCAAAGAGAGCUACUUCAUUUUUAUUUGUUUUAGCCACCUGGUGCAAAUUAGAACAAUAUUGAGCAUUAUAACAUUUUUUAUUUUAUAUUCUCCUUAUUUAGAAGUGGGAGUUGUGCUAGGACGAACACAACACUAAAAAUUGGUACCACUAUUUAGAAGUGGGAGUUGUGCUAGGACGAACACAACACUAAAAAUUGGUACCACUAUUUAGAAGUGGGAGUUGUGCUAGGACGAACACAACACUAAAAAUUGGUACCACUAUUUAGAAGUGGGAGUUGUGCUAGGACGAACACAACACUAAAAAUUGGUACCACUAUUUAGAAGUGGGAGUUGUGCUAGGACGAACACAACACUAAAAAUUGGUACCACUAUUUAGAAGUGGGAGUUGUGCUAGGACGAACACAACACUAAAAAUUGGUACCACUAUUUAGAAGUGGGAGUUGUGCUAGGACGAACACAACACUAAAAAUUGGUACCACUAUUUAGAAGUGGGAGUUGUGCUAGGACGAACACAACACUAAAAAUUGGUACCACUAUUUAGAAGUGGGAGUUGUGCUAGGACGAACACAACACUAAAAAUUGGUACCACUAUUUAGAAGUGGGAGUUGUGCUAGGACGAACACAACACUAAAAAUUGGUACCACUAUUUAGAAGUGGGAGUUGUGCUAGGACGAACACAACACUAAAAAUUGGUACCACUAUUUAGAAGUGGGAGUUGUGCCACGAGCAAAUUGUACUGUAGCCAAACACAUUUCAAAUUGUAUUGUGAGGCCUCAUAAUUUUUGGCCCAAUUUGAUUAGGUAUUACCACUUGGAGGCUCUUUUAUUUCCACGUGUGAGCAAUUGAUAUUGCUUCAGGCUGAUAUCAGGAAA